rnacentral:rRNA from 1 species
UACGAAGGGGGCUAGCGUUGCUCGGAAUUACUGGGCGUAAAGGGCGCGUAGGCGGCACUGUUAGUCAGGCGUGAAAGUCCUGGGCUCAACCUGGGAACUGCGCUUGAUACGGCAGAGCUAGAGGAUGGAAGAGGCUCGCGGAAUUCCCAGUGUAGAGGUGAAAUUCGUAGAUAUUGGGAAGAACACCGGUGGCGAAGGCGGCGAGCUGGUCCAUUACUGACGCUGAGGCGCGACAGCGUGGGGAGCGAACAGG